AGAGCUGCACACUGUUUGCACGCGCCUGUCAGUGGGGCUGUGGGCUGAAACGCGCCCUCCUGUGGCCCCACGUAGAAGUCGCGCGAACAACUUUGGCGUCAGGAGGAACUGAACGGGGGUGGACGAAGGGGGGAGAUAGUCGGUGUGUGCACCGGUACUAGGUCAGUCAUCUUUUUUUUUUUUUUUUGUUUGUUUGUUUGUUGUUUUGCUGCCUUAAAAACGGGUUUACGCAGUGGGGUUGUUGGAAGUCCUGCAUCAAAGUAAAGAAGUUUCAGAGCGCUUUUCAGUUGGCACAGAUUGUUGGCGAGCACCAAAUAGAAGGAUAGACUGAAAAAGAGGAAGACUACCGCGCCCCUUGGCAUGGCAAAGGCGUCCUGUGGAAACCUAAGUGAGAGCGGAAAACAAACUGGGAGUGGGAGCACUGAGCAGUGAUGCUUCUUUGACAACCUGUUCAGUGUGGAGCUGUGAAGCUUGAGCGCAUCCCCGCGCCUGUCUCUCUCUCUCUCUCUCUCUCUCUCUCUCUCUCUCUCUCUCUCUCUCCACGCACAGACAGGGGCGGUCGUUCUCAGUCUGCACACAUUCCACUUGGCCAGCAUCCCCCGGACUCCACAGACACAGUGCUGAUUGAACAAGCGGAGAGGGGAGCUCAUUCUCAGAGCGCAUCAUUUAGAGAGGCUCCACUCUACUGUCACCGGCCAAAGAAGGAGAGAGGCAGCAAUUCAACCACGCCUUUCUCAGUGAAUUCAAGGAGAGUAGUCAAGGUGUAGGGUGUAUAUUUAUAUUUUUAAAGGGACUUGCUUGGGUUCCAUUUUUUUUAGAAGGUUUAGGAGUUUUUUUUCUUUUCUUUUUUUUCCACUUUUUUAUAUUUGUGAGGAGGAGACUCCAUCAUCACUUCUGCUGCCACACUUAAAACAACAACAACAACAAAAAGUUCAAGUGGAAAUUCUUUUGGAACGACCCACUUCACUACAUCGGUGUUCCGUCUGGAGUUUUGUUUUUCACGCUCUCCGUGGAAGAGGAUAUAUAACUUUUCAACUGGUGUUUUAGGAGAAGAGGAGCUGAGAUCAGAGGAAUUCUUGCUGCUGAGCCGGGAGGACUGCGCAGCGCCUUCAGAUACAAGGUUAUGACGGAGCUGAGCUGAAUAUGGAGCUUUUCUGGAUUGUCUUGUUUUCCAGUGCGCAUCCUCUUGUUUGGGGGCAAGGAGUUUACGAUCCAAUCAGGGAUGUUAAGCCCUUUCGCCCACAUCCACCCACCAACCUCUACAAAGUUUGCACUGCUUGCAAGUGCAAUAGCACUUUUAAAUUGGUCACAUAAAGUUCAGAAGAUCUUAAUUAAACAGCUCCAACCCUGUCAGAAUAAAUUGCCUUUGAGAUGGAAUUUCUCUCUCACUGUCUUCGCAUGCUGCUUGCUCACAGUCGAACUGGGACAGAUGUAAAGCCUAUCGCUGGCUUUGGGGGUGUUGGUGUCUUUACACAGUACUUGAUCACAGAGGAGUCAUUACAGAGGCUGAAGGGGGUAACAAGGUCAAAGCUUUCUUCUUGGCUUUUUUGCUUUCAGCUCAUCAUAAUCUGGAGUUCUUUUCUUUUUUUUUUUUCCAGAUGACUAACAACUAAAAUACAGGUGAUAGAUUUCAUACUCAGUAGAAACGUAGGCGGACGCUGGAAAAUGAAGCCACCAUUUUUACAUUGUGUCCAUUAAUUAUUGUCCAUGUGGUUAACAAAUUAUUAUUUUUCAUUG